rnacentral:rRNA from 1 species
AUUGAACGCUGGCGGCAGGCCUAACACAUGCAAGUCGAACGGUAACAGGAAGAAGCUUGCUUCUUUGCUGACGAGUGGCGGACGGGUGAGUAAUGUCUGGGAAGCUGCCUGAUGGAGGGGGAUAACUACUGGAAACGGUAGCUAAUACCGCAUGACGUCGCAAGACCAAAGAGGGGGACCUUCGGGCCUCUUGCCAUCGGAUGUGCCCAGAUGGGAUUAGCUAGUAGGUGGGGUAACGGCUCACCUAGGCGACGAGCCCUAGCUGGUCUGAGAGGAUGACCAGCCACACUGGAAGUGAGACACGGUCCAGACUCCUACGGGAGGCAGCAGUGGGGAAUAUUGCACAAUGGGCGCAAGCCUGAUGCAGCCAUGCCGAGUGUAUGAAGAAGGCCUUCGGGUUGUAAAGUACUUUCAGCGGGGAGGAAGGGAGUAAAGUUAAUACCUUUGCUCAUUGACGUUACCCGCAGAAGAAGCACCGGCUAACGCCGUGCCAGCCGCCGCCGUAACAC